rnacentral:misc_RNA from 1 species
GAUGAAGAACGCAGCGAAAUGCGAUAAGUAGUGUGAAUUGCAGAAUUCAGUGAAUCAUCGAAUCUUUGAACGCACAUUGCGCCCCUUGGUAUCCCGAGGGGCAUGCCUGUUCGAGCGUCAUUUCACCACUCAAGCCUGGCUUGGUGUUGGGCGACGUCCUCUUUGGGGACGCGCCUCGAAACGCUCGGCGGCGUGGCACCGGCUUUAAGCGUAGCAGAAUCUUUCGCUUUGGAAGUCGGGGCCCCGUCUGCCGGAAGACCUGAUCGCAAGGUUGACCUCGGAUCAGGCAGGGAUACCCGCUGAACUUAAGCAUAUCAAUAAGCGGAGGA